rnacentral:lncRNA from 10 species
GCUGCCUGGGGUGGGCUGUGGCAUGGGGGCUGCACUUCAUCUGAACAGCCCUCCCUGGAGCUGUGCCUGGCAAGGGUCCCAGGGAAGCUGUGUCUGGACAGAGGAUUUAACGUGAGGAGCAAGUGGACUGGAACAGUACAAGGGAACUUGGCCAGCUGUGAGGCCCCUGUGAGCUGUGGAUGUUUGCUUCUUUCUUCACGGUUGGGACCGACUCCUGCCUUCUGCUGGGUUCUGCCGAGAAUGCGUGAGAGAAGUUUCCUCCAUUCCCUGUUGGGCUCAUGAAUGUGGACUCUGGGACUGAAAGGUUGUGACCUGUAUUAGUCUGUUCUCACAUUGCUGUAAAGAAAUGACUGAGGCUGUGUUAUUGAUAAAGAAAAGAGGUUUCAUUGGUUAUGUUUCCACAGGCUGCAUGGUUCCUCCCUGAGUGGCUGGGAAGGCCUCCAGGAGCUUUCACUUACGGUGCAAGAGGAAGGGGAAGCAGGCACAUUGACAUGGGGAGAACAGGAGGAAGAGGAGUGGGAGCGACCACACACAUUUAAACAACCAGAUCUCAUGAGAACUCACUCACCGGAACAGCGCGAGGGGAAUUGUACUAAACCAUUAGAAACUGCCCCAGGAUCCAGUCAUCUCCAGGUCCCACCUCCAGCACUGGGAAUUAAAAUUGAAGAUGAGAUUCACG